GUCAUGUCAUCACUUCAUUUUUUUGCGCCUGCGCAUAAAUCUGAGAAACGUGAGUUUUGUCUUCAUUGUUUAUCUAGACAUAGGAUAGGUUGUGUGAAAAUAUUACUGAUGUUUAACGUUAAAAAUGGACCAAAAGAUUAAUGCUAAACAACAUUUGACAUGUUUGAACGAACAUAAAUAAAUUAUUUUCUAGUUUUUUUUAGCUUUUCGGCGUGAUUUUACAGUCCCCCCACCACGUUUUGUGGGAGCAUAAUGAACGCUAAGUACUUGGUGUUAUUUGGACAUAAAUUAUGAACUUUGUCAAAAGAAACCACAUUUGUUCCGGACCUGGGAUGCCUUCCGGACCUGGGAUGCCUGCCUUCUGAUGGAGAUAAUCAAAGAAUGGCCUCCAGUUUCUCCGUCUCCUCAUCAGUAAAGAGCCACUGCUUGUCAGAGCCAUGCUGCCUCUUCUGUGGAGGCUCCACAACCUCCUCCUCAUCAGUGUCCUCAAAGUCACACCAGGCCUUUGUCUUCUGUGUCACUGGAUGUAUGCCAGUCUCUCUUUCCAUGUCAGCCACAAUGAUGUAUAUAAACCCUGGAAUGCUGAUGCUAUGUAUUGGCCAAUGAGAGGCUUUGAAGCCUCUGGUUAUAUUUGUGCUCCACAGAAGAAGCAGUCCUCCAUAGGGAUGAAUGGAAUUCUACAGUAUUUUAUUUCAAUUCAAUGUUUCAAGGAAAAAAUUAUAUGUAUUUACGUAUUUUUUGUUGUAGUGGGGACAGUAACAUUAGAACUUUCAAAAAAUGAUAGUUCAAGGAAACGUUUAUAUAUUUUUCAUUUUUAUUCGUAUGUUUAUCUCAUAAUAUAAUUUAAAAGUAUGCAUUAAG
rnacentral:lncRNA from 1 species